CCUACGGGGGGCAGCAGUGGGGAAUAUUGCGCAAUGGGCGAAAGCCUGACGCAGCGACGCCGCGUGAGGGAUGAAGGUCUUCGGAUCGUAAACCUCUGUCAGCAGGGAAGAACGGUCACUGUGCUAAUCAGCAGUGAAUUGACGGUACCUGCAAAGGAAGCACCGGCUAACUCCGGGCCAGCAGCCGCGGUAAUACGGAGGGUGCGAGCGUUAAUCGGAAUUACUGGGCGUAAAGCGCUCGUAGGCGGUAGGGAAAGUCAAGGGUGAAAUCCCCGCGCUCAACGUGGGAACUGCCUUUGAAACUGGCAAGCUGGAGUGUGUGAGAGGAUAGUGGAAUUCCAGGUGUAGGGGUGAAAUCCGUAGAUAUCUGGAGGAACAUCAGUGGCGAAGGCGACUAUCGGGCACAUAACUGACGCUGAGGAGCGAAAGCGUGGGUAGCAAACAGGAUUAGAUACCCUUGUAGUC
rnacentral:rRNA from 1 species